GCCAUUCCACCCUUCAUGGCCACCUGGGCUAUUUCCACUUUUGCCUAUUCUGAGAGGCUGCUGUGAAUUCCUGCAAGGGUUUUUCUGGGUGCUUUUGUUUCAGGUAAACACCUGUGAGUGCAAGGGCUGGGUCCCAAGGCAGACAUAGGCUUUACCGUUUUAAGGAACUGCCAGACAGAUUUCCAAGUGACUGUGCCUCUGCAUUCCUGCCAGCAGCGGAUGAGAGUUCUGGCGCUCUGUCCUCAUCCUUGCCAGCGGUGUUUAUGACACCUGUUCAGGCUUCUAAAGUCCAAGAAGGGACCUCAGCAACACAGGCACGUCUCCUGGGCAGAGGCGUGCGUCAUGGAAAACUUGGAGGCUGGUGAUUGGGCCGUCUCUGCUGCAAAGUCAAGUCCCCGAACGCUUGAAAAACAACAUAAUGUAUUCCUGUCUGCAGCUCUGAGCGAAAGCUCAUUUUGUGUCCUGUGUUUCCAUUUCCUGAGGAUUAAUAAGUGUGGAGGGGAACUCGGGCUUCGUGCCGAAUAUUUAUUUAGUCAAUAUACGCAUCAAUUUAGCAAAUUAGAGAUCGCAAGCCAUUUCUAAGCAAUGCUGUAAAAAUAAUAGCUGUACUUUAAACUUGUAAUGGAUUUUGGUUUGGUGGGAGGUGGUGGCUACUACGUGCCUGGUACUUGAUAAACAAAGAAGUUUAGUUCUCCUUAAACUUC
rnacentral:lncRNA from 10 species